rnacentral:tRNA from 1 species
GGGGAUUUAGCUCAGUGGUAGAGCGCUUGCUAGAGGCCCUGGGUUCGGUCCCCAGCUCCA